rnacentral:rRNA from 1 species
GAUGAACGCUGGCGGCGUGCCUAAUACAUGCAAGUCGAACGCGCAGCGAAAGGUGCUUGCACCUUUCAAGCGAGUGGCGAACGGGUGAGUAACACGUGGAUAACCUGCCUCAAGGCUGGGGAUAACAUUUGGAAACAGAUGCUAAUACCGAAUAAAACUUAGUAUCGCAUGAUAUAAAGUUAAAAGGCGCUACGGCGUCACCUAGAGAUGGAUCCGCGGUGCAUUAGUUAGUUGGUGGGGUAAAGGCUUAACAAGACAAUGAUGCAUAGCCGAGUUGAGAGACUGAUCGGCCACAUUGGGACUGAGACACGGCCCAAACUCCUACGGGAGGCUGCAGUAGGGAAUCUUCCACAAUGGGCGCAAGCCUGAUGGAGCAACGCCGCGUGUGUGAUGAAGGCUUUCGGGUCGUAAAGCACUGUUGUAUGGGAAGAAAUGCUAAAAUAGGGAAUGAUUUUAGUUUGACGGUACCAUACCAGAAAGGGACGGCUAAAUACGUGCCAGCCGCCGCCGUAA